rnacentral:rRNA from 1 species
CGGACGGGUGAGUAAUGUCUGGGAAACUGCCCGAUGGAGGGGGAUAACUACUGGAAACGGUAGCUAAUACCGCAUAAUGUCUGCGGACCAAAGCGGGGGACCUCCGGGCCUCGCGCCAUCAGAUGAACCCAUAUGGGAUUAGCUAGUAGGUAAGGUAACGGCUUACCUAGGCGACGAUCCCUAGCUGGUCUGAGAGGAUGAUCAGCCACACUGGGACUGAGACACGGUCCAG